GGUAGGACUCUCGGCAACGGAUAUCUCGGCUCUCGCAUUGAUGAAGAACGUAGCGAAAUGCGAUGCAUGGUGUGAAAUGUAGAAUCCCACGAACCAUCGAGUCUUUGAACGCAAGUUGAGCCCAAGGCCAUCCGGCCGAGGGCACGCCAGCCUGGGCAUCACGC
rnacentral:rRNA from 1 species